AAACAACUACGAGUCACACUUAAAACUUAAAAGACUUGACGGUACUUCACUACACCCUAGAGGAGCCUGUCCAAUAACCGACAACCCACGAUUAACCCAACCCCCCCUUGCCUACAGUCUAUAUACCGCCGUCGCAAGCCUACCUCAUAAGAGGAGUAAAGUAGGCCAAACAGUGCUCACUAAAACGACAGGUCGAGGUGUAACUCAUGAGAGGGACCAAGAUGGGCUACACUCUCACAUCGAGAAUACGGAAAAAACCCCGAAAUUAGUCUUUAAAGGUGGAUUUAGCAGUAAGAUAGGAAUAAAACACCUAACUGAACAUAANGCGAUGAAGUGCGU
rnacentral:rRNA from 1 species